rnacentral:rRNA from 1 species
UACGUAGGUGGCAAGCGUUGUCCGGAUUUACUGGGCGUAAAGAGCGCGCAGGCGGUCGUAUAAGUCGAAUGUGAAAGCCCCCGGCUCAACUGGGGAGGGUCAUUCGAUACUGUUCGACUCGAAGGCAGGAGAGGGAAGUGGAAUUCCGGGUGUAGCGGUGAAAUGCGUAGAUAUCGGGAGGAACACCUGAGGCGAAGGCGGGCUACUGGGCCGAUACUGACGCUGAUGCGCGAAAGCCAGGGGAGCGAACGGG